rnacentral:rRNA from 1 species
ACGAACGCUGGCGGCGUGCUUAACACAUGCAAGUCGAACGGAAAGGCCCUGCUUUUGUGGGGUGCUCGAGUGGCGAACGGGUGAGUAACACGUGAGUAACCUGCCCUUGACUUUGGGAUAACUUCAGGAAACUGGGGCUAAUACCGGAUAGGAGCUCCUGUUGCAUGGUGGGGGUUGGAAAGUUUCGGCGGUUGGGGAUGGACUCGCGGCUUAUCAGCUUGUUGGUGGGGUAGUGGCUUACCAAGGCUUUGACGGGUAGCCGGCCUGAGAGGGUGACCGGCCACAUUGGGACUGAGAUACGGCCCAGACUCCUACGGGAGGCAGCAGUGGGGAAUAUUGCACAAUGGGCGGAAGCCUGAUGCAGCAACGCCGCGUGCGGGAUGACGGCCUUCGGGUUGUAAACCGCUUUCGCCUGUGACGAAGCGUGAGUGACGGUAAUGGGUAAAGAAGCACCGGCUAACUACGUG